rnacentral:rRNA from 1 species
UACGUAGGGGGCGAGCGUUGUCCGGAGUUACUGGGCGUAAAGCGCUUGUAGGAGGUCCACCAAGUUUGGGGUGACAGUUGCCGACUUAAUCGGCAAAGUGCCUCAAAGACUGGCGGACUUGAGGGCCACAGAGGGACAUGGAACUCCAGGUGUAGUGGUGAAAUGCGUAGAUAUCUGGAAGAACACCAAAGGCGAAGGCAGUGUCCUGGGUGGUCGCUGACGCUGAGAGGCGAAAGCCAGGGGAGCGAACGGG